rnacentral:rRNA from 1 species
UCUGGUUGAUCCUGCCUGAACUGAUGUGUUCAUUUCAAAGAUUAAGCCAUGCAUGUAUAAGUAUAAUCUGCCAGUCAGAGAAACUGCGUACGGCUCAUUACACCAGCCUUAAUUUACUUGACCUUGACACCCUACUUGGAUAACUGUGGUAAUUCUAGAGCUAAUACAUGCACCAAAGCUCCAAUCUCCCCAGAGCGGAGCGCAUUUGUUCGCCACAAAACCAAGCGCCUCAGGGCGUUCAGUGUUGACUCAGAACAACUAAGCUGAUCGCACGGUCUUGCACCGGCGACGUGUCUUUCAAGUGUCUGCCUUAUCAACUUUCGAUGGUAGUGUAUCUGACUACCAUGGUGAUGACGGGUAACGGAGGAUAAGGGUUCGACUCCGGAGAAGGGGCCUGAGAAAUGGCCACUACGUCUAAGGAUGGCAGCAGGCGCGCAAAUUACCCACUCUCGACGCGAGGAGGUAGUGACGAGAAAUAACGAGACCGUUCUCAUCUGAGGCCGGUCAUCGGAAUGGGUACAAUUUAAACCCUUUAACGAGUAUCUAUGAGAGGGCAAGUCUGGUGCCAGCAGCCGCGGUAAUUCCAGCUCUCAAAAUGCAUAGAAUUAUUGCUGCGGUUAAAAAGCUCGUAGUUGGAUCUGUGCUGAGCGACCGGUCUGCCCACUGGGCACGCACUGGCUCGCCCGGCUUUCCCUGCCGGUCUCUCUCUGACGUUGGUUUUAACCGGCUGGCGUCAGUGGGCUGGCGAGUUUACUUUGAACAAAUCAGAGUGCUUCAAACAGGCGUCUCGCCUGAAUGUUCGUGCAUGGAAUAAUAGAAGAGGAUCACGGUCCGAUUUUAUUGGUUUUGCUGACCGAGAUAAUGGUUAACAGAGACAAACGGGGCCAUUCGUAUUGCUACGUGAGAGGUGAAAUUCUUGGACCGUAGCAAGACGGACUACAGCGAAAGCAUUUGGCAAGAAUGUCUUCAUUAAUCAAGAACGAAAGUCAGAGGUGAAAUUCUUGGACCGUAGCAAGACGGACUACAGCGAAAGCAUUUGGCAAGAAUGUCUUCAUUAAUCAAGAACGAAAGUCAGAGGUUCGAAGGCGAUCAGAUACCGCCCUAGUUCUGACCGUAAACGAUGCCAACUAGCGAUCCGCCGGCGGAUUCAUUCGCCCUGGUGGGGAGCUUCCCGGAAACGAAAGUCUUCCGGUUCCGGGGGAAGUAUGGUUGCAAAGCUGAAACUUAAAGGAAUUGACGGAAGGGCACCACCAGGAGUGGAGCCUGCGGCUUAAUUUGACUCAACACGGGGAAACUCACCCGGCCCGGACACCGUAAGGAUUGACAGAUUGAUAGCUUUUUCAUGAUUCGGUGGAUGGUGGUGCAUGGCCGUUCUUAGUUCGUGGAGCGAUUUGUCUGGUUUAUUCCGAUAACGAGCGAGACUCUGGCCUACUAAAUAGUUGGCACAUUGCCACUGUGUGCACAACUUCUUAGAGGGAUUUUCGGUGUUCAGCCGCACGAAAUUGAGCAAUAACAGGUCUGUGAUGCCCUUAGAUGUCCGGGGCUGCACGCGCGCUACACUGGCAAAAUCAGCGUGCUUGUCCUCCCCCGAAAGGGGUUGGUAAACCGAUGAAAAUUUGCCGUGAUUGGGAUCGGACAUUGCAAUUAUUGUCCGUGAACGAGGAAUCCCUUGUAAGGGCGAGUCAUCAACUCGUCCUGAAUACGUCCCUGCCCUUUGUACACACCGCCCGUCGCUGCCCGGGACUGAGCCAUUUCGAGAAAACCGGGGAUUGUUGGCCUGACGGCUCUCGGGUCGUCUAGCCGAUGAGAACCGGCUUAAUCGCACUGGUUUGAACCGGGCAAAAGUCGUAACAAGGUAGCUGUAGGUGAACCUGCUGCUG